rnacentral:rRNA from 1 species
AUUGAACGCUGGCGGCAGGCUUAACACAUGCAAGUCGAGCGAGCGGCGGACGGGUGAGUAAUGUCUGGGAAACUGCCUGAUGGAGGGGGAUAACUACUGGAAACGGUAGCUAAUACCGCAUACCAUAGGAUGAGCCCAAGUGGGAUUAGGUAGUUGGUGAGGUAAAGGCUCACCAAGCCGACGAUCUCUAGCUGGUCUGAGAGGAUGACCAGCCACACUGGGACUGAGACACGGCCCAGACUCCUACGGGAGGCAGCAGUGGGGAAUAUUGCGCAAUGGGGGCAACCCUGACGCAGCCAUGCCGCGUGAAUGAAGAAGGCCUUCGGGUUGUAAAGUUCUUUCGGUAGCGAGGCGUUACCCGCAGAAGAAGCACCGGCUAACUCCGUGCCAGCAGCCGCGGUAAUAC